GCUCAUUUAAAGGCCAACCACGGAGGAGUGAGCAUCUCUUGGACCUGGGCUGCUUUCUGAGGACGAGUGCUGUGUAGCUAGAGAGCCCCUUCAUCAGUUGGGCUCUGGAGGAAAUUUUCUGGCCUGUCCUCAACUGAUACUAGAGAAACGGUAUUAAAAAGCCACUAAGGAGUUCAGUGGAGAGAAAUGGCAAGUUCCUAAUUCUGGUGGAAAUAAGAGCCUGGAAUGGAGGAAGGCAGACGCCUGGCACUGGGCAGCUCUUCAGAAGAGGACUCGGAACUCAGGAUAUUCCUUGUUCUGCAUAGUUAAGGAACAAAGGCGAUGAGCUCUGCAGCCUCAGCAGUCACAGGAGCGUAUUGCAGAUGCCAGCACAACCUCUGAGGGCGAAGCCCUGAGAGGGGAUACCUCUUCUGAGCACAGCCUGAGAGGAUGGGCUGUGAGACAGCUGCAGUGAAACCCAGCCUGACUGGGACCCAUAAGGAAAUUCUGCAUCUCUGGCUGAAAAUCAAAUAACCUGGUUCUUAGAAAUACAUUGCUUCUCUGUGCUUCUACACAGUCUAAAUGGCACCUCUUUUGCUGUUUAACAAAUCUCCCUAGAAAAUGUCACUCUCUGUAAAAUUACAGAUUUUGGAUAAAAGCUAAAGUCUCAGCAUGCAUAAUAUAUUAUUCUUGUGUCUGGGCCCAUAGCCUUUUAUCCCAAAUAAGAAAUAAAGCAAUUGUUGAAUAGAAAAUUCUUGAGUGUUCUCAAAUUCUCAGUUGCCACCACCCACCUCAUCACAGGCUGAGGAACUUCAGUUCUUUCCAUUAAGUGUAUGCGGCAUAUAAAUAUAUUUGUACACGCAGAUAUACAUGUAUUACAUACAAACAAAAGC
ensembl:lncRNA